GCUCUGGUGGCUCAAUCGGAUAGAGCGUUGGACUUCUAAUCCAAAGGUUGCGGGUUCAAGUCCCGCCCAGAUUA
rfam:Perkinsus marinus ATCC 50983 gcontig_1104296735164, whole genome shotgun sequence.